UCAAGUGACUAAGCGCAUACGGUGGAUGCCUUGGCAGUCAGAGGCGAUGAAGGACGUAGUAGCCUGCGAAAAGCUUCGGGGAGUCGGCAAACAGACUUUGAUCCGGAGAUGUCCGAAUGGGGAAACCCACCCAAUGUAAGUUGGGUAUCCUGCACUGAAUACAUAGGUGCAGGAGGCGAACGAGGGGAACUGAAACAUCUAAGUACCCUUAGGAAUAGAAAUCAAUUGAGAUUCCCCCAGUAGCGGCGAGCGACCGGGGAGUAGCCUGCAAGUGAUAGCAGUUGGGUUAGUGGAACGGUCUGGAAAGUCCGGCGAUAGAGGGUGAUAGCCCCGUACACGAAAACCUGGUUGUGAUACUGAGCUUGCGACAAGUAGGUCGGGACACGAGUUAUCUUGACUGAACAUGGGGGGACCAUCCUCCAAGGCUAAAUACUACUGACUGACCGAUAGUGAACCAGUACCGUGAGGGAAAGGCGAAAAGAACCCCGGAGAGGGGAGUGAAAUAGAUCCUGAAACCGUGUGCGUCCAAGCGGUGGGAGCCCCAUCACUUAGCGAUUUGGUGGUGAGUGCAUCACGCAAUUAAACAACAGCAGACCUGGUCGAAUAAAUUCGACCCUACGGUAGGGCCGAAUUUAUUCGGCCGAAGAAGCUGGUGAUGGCGACAUCAUAAAGGAGAUUGCUUAGUGAUGGGGUGACUGCGUACCUUUUGUAUAAUGGGUCAGCGACUUAUUGUCUGUAGCAAGCUUAACCGUUUAGGGGAGGCGUAGGGAAACCGAGUCUUAAUAGGGCGCAUUAGUUGCAGGCAAUAGACCCGAAACCGGGCGAUCUAUCCAUGGCCAGGGUGAAGGUUGAGUAACAUCAACUGGAGGCCCGAACCCACUUAUGUUGAAAAAUGAGGGGAUGAGCUGUGGAUCGGAGUGAAAGGCUAAUCAAGCCCGGAGAUAGCUGGUUCUCCUCGAAAUCUAUUUAGGUAGAGCGUCAUGUCUUACCCGCGGGGGUAGAGCACUGUUUCGGCUAGGGGGUCAUCCCGACUUACCAACCCGAUGCAAACUCCGAAUACCGCGGAGUACAAUCAUGGCAGACAGACUGCGGGUGCUAACGUCCGUUGUCGAGAGGGCAACAACCCAGACCGCCAGCUAAGGUCCCUAAUACCAGUUAAGUGGGAAACGAUGUGGGAAGGCUUAGACAGCUAGGAGGUUGGCUUAGAAGCAGCCAUCCUUUAAAGAAAGCGUAAUAGCUCACUAGUCGAGUCGGCCUGCGCGGAAGAUAUAACGGGGCUAAAUUGGUAACCGAAGCUGCGGAUGCUGCUAUUUUUCGAAAUGGUGGCAUGGUAGAGGAGCGUUCUGUAAGCCGUUGAAGGUGAACCGGGAGGUUUGCUGGAGGUAUCAGAAGUGCGAAUGCUGACAUGAGUAACGAUAAGGGGGGUGAAAAACCUCCCCGCCGGAAGAUCAAGGUUUCCUGUCCAACGCUAAUCGGGACAGGGUGAGUCGGCCCCUAAGGCGAGGCAGAAAUGCGUAGUCGAUGGAAAGCGGGUUAAUAUUCCCGCACUUGUUUAUAUUGCGAUGGAGGGACGGAGUAGGCUAGGUCAUCAGGGCGUUGGUUGUCCCUGUUUAAGGCUGUAGGCUGGCUGCUUAGGUAAAUCCGGGUGUCCCCCUUUUAGUAGGGAGUGCUGAGAGCUGAUGACGAGCUUUAGUGAGAGCUAAAGUGAAGUGAUCGAUGCCAUGCUUCCAAGAAAAGCUUCUAAGCUUCAGAUAUAGACGAACCGUACUGUAAACCGACACAGGUGAUCAGGUAGAGAAUACCAAGGCGCUUGAGAGAACUCGGGUGAAGGAACUAGGCAAAAUGGUACCGUAACUUCGGGAGAAGGUACGCCGGCUUUGGUGAUGGGACUUGCUCCCUAAGCUGAGGCUGGUCGAAGUGACCAGGUGGCUGCGACUGUUUAUUAAAAACAUAGCACUGUGCAAACACGUAAGUGGACGUAUACGGUGUGACGCCUGCCCGGUGCCGGAAGGUUAAUUGAUGGGGUUAUCUUCGGAGAAGCUCUUGAUCGAAGCCCCGGUAAACGGCGGCCGUAACUAUAACGGUCCUAAGGUAGCGAAAUUCCUUGUCGGGUAAGUUCCGACCUGCACGAAUGGCGUAACGAUGGCCACACUGUCUCCACCCGAGACUCAGUGAAAUUGAAAUUGCGGUUAAGAUGCCGUAUACCCGCGGCUAGACGGAAAGACCCCGUGAACCUUUACUAUAGCUUCACAGUGGACUCUGACUUUACUUGUGUAGGAUAGCUGGGAGGCUUUGAAGUGGUGGCGCUAGCUAUCAUGGAGCCAACCUUGAAAUACCAGCCUGGUAACGUUGGGGUUCUAACUCAGGUCCAUUAUCUGGAUCGAGGACAUUGUGUGGUGGGUAGUUUGACUGGGGCGGUCUCCUCCCAAAGAGUAACGGAGGAGCACGAAGGUGCGCUAAUCAUGGUCGGAAAUCAUGAGGUUAGUGUAAAGGCACAAGCGCGCUUGACUGCGAGUCUGACAAGACGAGCAGGUACGAAAGUAGGUCUUAGUGAUCCGGUGGUUCUGAAUGGAAGGGCCAUCGCUCAACGGAUAAAAGGUACUCCGGGGAUAACAGGCUGAUACCGCCCAAGAGUUCACAUCGACGGCGGUGUUUGGCACCUCGAUGUCGGCUCAUCACAUCCUGGGGCUGAAGCCGGUCCCAAGGGUAUGGCUGUUCGCCAUUUAAAGUGGUACGCGAGCUGGGUUUAGAACGUCGUGAGACAGUUCGGUCCCUAUCUGCCGUGGGCGUUGGAGAAUUGAGGGAAGCUGCUUCUAGUACGAGAGGACCGAAGUGGACGAACCCCUGGUGUUCGGGUUGUGUCGCCAGACGCAUUGCCCGGUAGCUACGUUCGGACAGGAUAACCGCUGAAAGCAUCUAAGCGGGAAGCCCCUCCCAAGACUAGUUCUCCCUGGGAAUUUAAUUCCCCUGAAGGGCCGUCCAAGACUAGGACGUUGAUAGGCUGGGUGUGUAAGCGCUGUGAGGCGUUGAGCUAACCAGUACUAAUUGCCCGUGAGGCUUGACCAU
rnacentral:rRNA from 1 species